UUUAUUAUUUUGGUAAACAUUUUUGUAAGAAAAUUUUAAUUCAGUAGUGGUUUAUUAUGCAUUUAUGUGUAUUUUUGUGAGGGCUUUUUAGUCAUUUUAUGUGUUUUUUUUAUUAUUUUAUUUUAUUUUAUUUUUGAAUUUUUUUUUGUAAAGAAAUCAAUUCCCAGUAUGCAUGCAGGUACUUGAGUACCCAGCCUCUAUCACGUUUUUAUCUUCUUCACGUUUUCUGAAUUUUAUUAGUAUAUUUUAUUAAGUAUCACGUUUUCUUCAGUGGUGAUUUGUGUUCUUAGUUUUCGUUCUUGUGUUAGGGUUUAUUUGAGUUCUUUGUUGUCGAUUUUCUGCCCUCUGUGCGUGUGUUUCGUCUCGGUGAGUACCUGGUUUCAGGAUUUUUAUAAGUUUCUCGUUGUGGAUUUGUGCCUCUUUGUGGUGUUUUCGUAUCGUGCAUUGAUAUUUCUCUUGCUCGAAUUUGUGUGAUGGAUCACUGUGGUGAAUGCGGUGGUGUUUCUGGUUCGGAGAAGAAAAUUUCUGGUAUAGUAGAGGAUGAAUCGAAGAAUGUAGGGGAUGAUAUUUGCGAGAUUCUUCCUCGAAGGAGUAACAUUACACAUUUGAAGUCUGUUGCAAGGAAGAAGAGUAAAUCCCCUUCCUCUGUUGCAAGGAAGACAAGUAAAUCGCCUUCCACUGUUAAACAGGCGAAGGAUUCGUGUGCAUCUGGUAGUAAGGAUGCUGGAGAUGAUUCUCAUGAGACUAAACAUGUUGUGGUAUGUGUUUAUUUUUUUAAUUAUUUUAAUAUAAA